CCUACGGGCGGCAGCAGUGGGGAAUAUUGGACAAUGGGGGCAACCCUGAUCCAGCCAUGCCGCGUGUGUGAAGAAGGCCCUCGGGUUGUAAAGCACUUUCAGUGAGGAAGAACGCCUGGUGGUUAAUACCCAUCAGGAAAGACAUCACUCACAGAAGAAGCACCGGCUAACUCCGUGCCAGCAGCCGCGGUAAUACGGAGGGUGCGAGCGUUAAUCGGAAUUACUGGGCGUAAAGCGCGCGUAGGUGGCUUGAUAAGCCGGUUGUGAAAGCCCCGGGCUCAACCUGGGAACGGCAUCCGGAACUGUCAAGCUAGAGUGAAGGAGGGAAGGUAGAAUUCCCGGUGUAGCGGUGAAAUGCGUAGAGAUCGGGAGGAAUACCAGUGGCGAAGGCGGCCUUCUGGACUGACACUGACACUGAGGUGCGAAAGCGUGGGUAGCAAACAGGAUUAGAUACCCCUGUAGUC
rnacentral:rRNA from 1 species